rnacentral:lncRNA from 1 species
GAGGGGGAAUGGAUAAGGAGGGGAGGAGGGCCCACAGGAGACCUGAGGGGGGUGGUGGGUAAUGGAUAAGGAGGGGAGGGGGGCCUGCAGGGGGCCUGUGACACCUAGGGGAGGGGAAUGGAUAAGGAGGGUAGGAGGGCCAACAGGAGGCACUGAGAUACCAGGGGGAGGGGUGGAAUGAGGAGGGGAGAGCCCUGCAGGGGGGCGGGGAGACCUGAGGUGAGGGUAAUGGAUAAGGAGGGGAGGAGGGUCUGCAGGGGUUCUUGGGAGACCUGGGGGAUGAAUAGGAGAGGACAAGGGGAGGAGGGUCUGCAGGGGGCCCUGGGAGCCCUGCGGGGGGCGAGGGGUGGGGGAAUGGAUAAGGAGGGGAGGAGGGCCUGCAAGGGGUGCUGGGAGACUUGGGGGAGGGGAAUGGAUAAGGAGGGGAGGAGGGCCUGCAAGGGGUGCUGGGAGACCUGGGGGAGGGGAAUGGAUAAGGAGAGGAGGAGGGCCCGCAGGAGGCACUGAGAGACUGGGGGGAGGGGUGGAAUGAGGAGGGGAGGAGAGCCCUGCAGGGGGCACUGAGAUACUGGGGGGAGGGGUGGAAUGAGGAGGGGAGGAGAGCCCUGUAGGGGGCGCUGGGAGACCUUGGGGGGAAUGGAUAAGGAGGGGAAGAGGGCCCUCAGGGGGCGCUGGGAGACCUGGGGGGGAAAUGGAUAAGGAGGGGAGGAUGGCCGCAAGGGGCACUGGGAGACGCUGGCGGGGAAUGGAUAAGGAGUGGAGGGGGGCCUGCAAGGGGCGCUGGGAGACCUGGAGGGGAAAGGAUAAGGAGGGAGGAGGGCCUGGAGAGGGCGCUGGGAGACUUGGGCGGGGGUGGAGGGAAUGGAUAAGGAGGGGAGAAGGGCCUGCAGGGGGCACUGAGACCUGGUGGGGAAUGGAUAAGGAGGGAGGAGGGCCUGCAGGGGGCGCUGGGGAACCUGGGGGGCUUGGAUAAGAAGGGGAGGAGGGCCUGCAGGGGGCGCUGGGAGACCUAGGCGGGGCAGGGGUGGGGAAUGGGUAAGGAGGGAAGAAGGGCCUUGCAGGGGGCGCUGGGAGACCUGGGGUCGGGGGGAGGAUAAGGAGGGGCAAUGGGAGAGGAUGGGGAAUGGGGUGCUUAGAGACUUGGGUGGGAAAUGGACGCAGCAGGGACUGGGCGGGGAGAGACCUUACAAGGGUUCCAGGAGAUGGGUUGGGGUGGGCUGGACAGGGCAGAGUGGAGGGUGAGGAGGGCCCUCUGUGAGCCACAGAGACCUGAGCAGGAGCUAGGUGGGGGCUGGGAAUGUGCAGGAAAGGAGACGUGGAAGGAGGGGGAGAUAGGGCGGCAGGGGUGAUGGAGAUUGACAGGGACCCCAGACAUGGGGGUAGGGAAAUGGGGAUGGAAAUAAAUGGAAAAAAAGAGGCUUCGUGGUGGGAAAGAGGAGGAACUCCGAGGGCUCCGGGGCACUGAGGUGUGCAGAGUUGCCGGGUCCUGAGUACCCUCGAGGGAGCAGAGGGAGCUCGAGGAACGAGGAAGAGAGGGGACGACGAGGGCAAAGAAGGGAGAACGUAGGCGGGUGUGGAGGAGGAUGAGCGUCCGAGGGAGAAGACGGAGGAGUUGAGCAGAGAAAGGGCAGGAAUGUGGGGGCUGGAAAGGGUGAGGAGGCAGCCGAUGGAGCAGGGGUGCAUCGGAGUUCAUGGGUACUUCCCAGGAGCUCAUUUAAGGCAGGUGGGAGGGCGGGGGACGUGGAGGGGCGGCCACACUGUGAACGGACUGAAGCCCACUUAACUGUUCACUCUAAAGUGGUUCAGUUCGUUACGUGUGUUUUCACUUCAAUCAAUUGCUUUUAAUGGAAAUUAAUCAUAUUGAUGGUCUCCAGAAGAAGUUGGGUUGAUACCUGCAACCAGAUUUUAAAAAUGCAAAUUUGGAGCCAAUGAGUGAAUGAAAUAAUUUGUACCUCACUGAUUCUUUUAAGGCAUAGCUUACAACGUUCCAGAAACUGUUCUAUUUGUUUUCACUUUUGUUUCAAAAUCUUAAUGGCAUUUUGUUUGCUGAUUGUGAAUAAAUAUUUGUAUGCUGCGAAAAGCAAAUCCAAAACCAACAGCUCAAAGGAGAAAGUGUGGCAAACAGGAGAUUGGAGAUUGGACCCCAAAACUCCUGGAGUGACGAAAAUUGACCUGGAUGAAGAAAUGGCUUUCUCUUGGCCUUCUUUUGUUUAAACAUAUCUUCCAGUCCUGGGGAUGGAUUUCCCUCCCAUCCAUAGCCAGAGAACUUUCUGUAUCCAUCAAAGUGCUUUCUAUGUUUGCCCGCUCUCCACAGCUCCCUCUUUGUCAUUCGCGAAUAGUAUAUAAUCAAAUAUUGUUUUCAUUUUCAAUAAUAUAAAAGAUAGAACUAAAUUCAGCUUUGAAAGACACCCAUGUACCAGUGGGUACUGGUACACUUGCCAGUGACUUUCUUCGCUCCCUAGUUUCUGCGUGGUGUCUGGGGUUUCCGUCACAGUAUAUGUACUAUACAAAGAAAAUAAAUAUUUGAAGGUCACUGGGAAAGUAGUAUGCUAUAAUGACUUACUUUAAAUCAUUUAAAUGAGUUUUUCUGCUUGAGUAAUCAGCACCUAUUUAGUGCCUCCUUGAGUAAUUUUGCGUGAUGGCUGUGACAUGCUGCUAGGAAGUUUUUCAGAGUUUGUAUUAUAGAAUCAUGUUUAGAAAAUUUCAAAUACCAAUUUAAAAGGCAUGUUUUAAAAGGAGAUAUAAAGCCAGUGGGAGGAGGGAUAGAGAAAGGGGAAACUGAGUUAAAUUUGAAGGGGACAAAGGGGCUUAAAAAGAGAAAUAGAUGGAAAGGGAGGGAUGAGGAGGAGGAGAGAGGGCCAAGCAGGCAGGGGAGGCAGGCCUGCAGUUGCUAAACUUUGCUCCUUCCCCGCGUUCUUGGAUAAUAUUUGUGGGGAGGCACUCCAAGCCAGACCUGCUGGAUUUCCUGCUCGUAGGCCUGUGCAGCCCAGGAAACUGUUCAGAAAAGUAGGAGAUGCCCAGGUGUGGUGACGGGCCAGCCAUGGGUUCCCCCAGUGCCUGCUGUGGAGCUUGGUCACUUGCAUCCUCCGGGUGGUAUUGCUUCGUGGUGGGUCCACACUAUGAGCUUAUCAGGCAAUGUGCUCAAAGGAAAGGAAGGCCUUGCGAAGUAUGUGGCACAGGGCCUCCAAAGAAGUGAUUAUUAAAAUGAUGGCGAGAGGAUGGGGUCCCAAGCCUACCUGGCUGAGGUCCUUAUAAGAAGAGAAGACACCAGAGAAGGACACACACAGAGGAAAGGCUGCGUGAGAGCAGCAAGAAGAUGGUUUUGUGUGAGCCAAGAAGGGGGCCUCGGGAGAACCAAACUUGCCAACACCUUGCUCUUGUACUUCCAGCCUCCAGAACUAUGAGAAAUAAAUGUCUGUUUUCUUAGCCACUCAGUCUGUGGUGUUUUGUUACGGCAGCUCUAGCACACCAGUGCAGGUACACACCAGGAGAGGCUCACACCAGUGCAAGCUCACACCAUUGCAGGCUCAUAUCAGUGCAGGCACACACCAGGACAGGCUCAAACCAAUGCAGGCACACACCAAUGCAGGCUCACACCAAUGCAGGCUUACACCAGUGCAGGCACACACCAGUGCAGGCUCACACCAAUGCAGGCUCACACCAUGCAAAUGGGACCGAGUGUGGGAGGCUGUGCUACUGCAUGGUUGCUGAAAGCAAAUGUUGGAAAACAUAUUCCACUUAGCCCUUUGGGCUAAGAAUUAUCCCCAGCACAUGUGCUUGACUGGGUGGGCAUGGGGACAGAUGAGCUCUAGAGCAUUAUUUGGAACUGGCAUAGAUUCAGAUAGAGAUGGACAAAUCAGAAAUGUAAAAAUAUUUUGAAAAAAAUUCUAUGAGGCAGCAAUGGACGAGACAGGCCAUUGAGUGCUGUCAUUGUCUUUAAAAAAUACUAUGUUCACUGCUUUCAAAGUAAGUGUCAUGAGGUUUAUUACUUAGUGGUUCUCUGGCUCCCCUAAGUUGACUGUAAAAUCUUUAUGAGGCACUUGGUAAGCACAUAAGUAUUUGAAGUACCCAAGGGAUAAAAGAGCUCGGUAGUGAAAUGGUGAGUGAAGGCUGGAAUUGCCCUAAAGUCUGGGUAGGAAGGGGGCCUCCAGCUGAGUAUGCCAAGCAAGUAACAUGAAUUAUCUCUCAAAUCUUCUAGAAAGCCCUAUGAGGGGGCAGUAUCAUAAUACCCUUUUCACAGAGAAAGAAAUGGAAAGGUUAAGAAACUUGCUCAAGGCCAGGCACGGUGGUUCACACCUGCAAUCCCAGUGCUUUGGGAGGCUGAGGCCAGAGGAUCACUCGAGGACAGGAGUUUGAGACCAGCCUGGGCAACAUAGUGAGACUCAGUUUCUACAAAAACAAAAAAACCAAAAAAUUAAAAAAUAAAAACUUGCUGAAGUGGUGGAAACAGUGAUUCAGGGAUCUUUGUCUUAAAUACUUUGUAAUGUGUUAUUUAUUAUGCUUCUUGUUAAUUUCUACAUGGGAAAUUAUAUAUAUGUUUAUGUUUUUAAAUAUAUAUUAUAUAUACUUAUAUAUUAAAUACGUAUUUCUACAUAUGUUUCCCAUAUAUGUGCUAUGUAAUAUAUAUGGUAAGAAAGCUCAACAUGGGUAAGGAUCUUUGUGAGUUUUGUUAACUGUUGUAUCCAAAGUGCCUGGGACAGGACCCUUGACAACAAUUUGUGGAAUAACUGAGUGUUGGAGUCCAUUGGCCUUCGACCACUCUUUUUUACAGCCCCUCUGGCAUACAUGAAGGGUGAAUCUGAGUUUUAUAUCCCACAGCCUUACACAAAUAAAUGUCAUGAUUGCGUUUUCUCUUGUUGUUCUGCAGUGGUAUUUACCUGGACAGUUUAAUGAUGUCUCUGACCUCUUCAUUUUAAGAAACCUUUCAAGAACUUUUUACUUCAUUCAACAGUUGUCUAUUCAUGCCAUAGGUAUUUAUAAUGAACUGUGAUAUCUAUAUUGUGGAGAAACGGGGUGCUCAGAAAGCUUUUCUUUUUCUUUUUCUUUUCUUUUCUUUUUUUUUUUUAUUCUGAGAUGGAGUCUCACUCUGUCACCUAGGCUGGAGUGCAG